rnacentral:rRNA from 1 species
UACGGGGGGGGGCAAGCGUUGUUCGGAAUUACUGGGCGUAAAGGGCUCGUAGGUGGCCAACUAAGUCAGACGUGAAAUCCCUCGGCUUAACCGGGGAACUGCGUCUGAUACUGGAUGGCUUGAGUUCGGGAGAGGGAUGCGGAAUUCCAGGUGUAGCGGUGAAAUGCGUAGAUAUCUGGAGGAACACCGGUGGCGAAGGCGGGUCUCUGGGCCGUUACUGACGCUGAGGAGCGAAAGCGUGGGGAGCGAACAGG